rnacentral:ncRNA from 2 species
GGAUAUUUUUGUCUCCGAGUUACUGCUUCCUAAAGCCGGAAUCGAGGCCAUGGACAGUGACCGCUAGGCCUGGAAGGAAACUUCCUGACCCCCCGUGUUUGGAAAGGAGACGGCAGCAAGAGGGU